rnacentral:misc_RNA from 1 species
ACAUCACAGGGCAGUUUGCCCAAAAAUAGCAAACAUUGUUGGAAAAGAACAUAUAUAUAGACGGGGCUUGUCGCUUAGCGAUCCAUCUGCUAUUACAACAAAGAAUACAAAAAAAAAAGGCGGAAAAAACAACUUCAAGUGUAAUAAACAAUGAAAAUAAGUUUCGAGCUAUACAAACUAAUUUUUCUUGAUAAGUAUCCUUGUUUAGUUCCCUUUGCCUUCAUCUUCAUUCAAGAUACGAUUGCGGAAAUCAUUGACCAUGAGAGGAAGCCCCUCUUGCAACGAUAUUUUUGGUUCCCAGUUUAGUAGUUCCUUUGCUUUGCUAAUAUCAGGUUUCCUCUUGUGAGGAUCAUCAGCGGUGUUGGCUUUGAACUCAAUAGUGGCACUGGGAUCAAUCACUUCUUUCACCACCCCAGCAAGCUCCAACAUGGUAAAUUCUCCUGGAUUUCCCAAGUUGAAAGGGCCAAUGUGCUCACCAUCCAUGAGGGCCACUAAUCCAUCAACCAGAUCAGAGACGAAUUGAAAACUUCGAGUUUGCUUUCCAUCCCCAUAUACUGUCAUUGGUUGCUUGCGGAUGGCCUGCGCAACAAAGUUGCUGACAACACGUCCAUCAUCUAAACACAUACGAGGUCCGUAUGUAUUGAAAAUCCGAGCAAUACGAACCUCGACAUUUGCACCGCGAUGGUAAUCCAUAGUCAAGGUUUCCGCAGUCCGUUUUCCCUCGUCAUAGCAGCUCCUAACACCUAUUGGAUUCACAUGACCCCAAUAUGUUUCCUUUUGAGGAUGCUCAAGCGGAUCACCAUAAACCUCACUUGUACUGGUAAGCAAGAACUUAGCACCAAUUCUCUUGGCAAGCCCCAACAUGUUAAGGGUGCCCAUCACAUUUGUCUUAAUAGUUUUGACAGGAUUAUACUUGUAGUGAACUGGAGAAGCAGGACAAGCCAAAUGGUAAAUCUGAUCUACUUCUAACAAGAUAGGCUCAACAACAUCAUGCCUAAUAAGCUCAAAUCUUGGAUUCCCAAAAUGAUGUUUCACAUUUUCUUUCCUACCCGUAAAGAAAUUAUCAAUCACAAUAACAUCAUCACCUCUCUUAAUCAACUUAUCCACUAAAUGACUCCCCACAAAUCCAGCACCACCAGUCACCACAAUCCUCAAAACCUUCCGCUUUAAUCCCAACGGAAUCUUCCCACCGGAAUUAAUCGACCCGAACCCGACCCGAUUAUGAUAGAUCAUCCGGUGAGCCACCUGAGACUCAGUCGACUCCGACGGUAAGUACGAAUCGUAGAUCCCGGUGUUAGCGUAGCUCGAUCCUCCGGAGGAACGAGAAGACGGUAAAAAAGCAAAAAUUAGAGAAGCGAUAGCAAUGCCUGCGAAUAGAAAAACAAUUCUCUGUUCUCGGAGCAAGUAACGAAGGGGACGAAUUACAGUAAACCAUGGUUUAUGUGGUUUGGGAGUGUAACCGUCGGUCACCGGAACUGAUUCCGGUCCACGAUAAAUCAAUUCGGAAGUCAUGAUUUAUUUAUUUUUCUUCUCUCAAAAUUGUGUUGAAAAAGAGAGAGAAAAGAAGAUAGU